GACGAACGCUGGCGGCGUGCUUAACACAUGCAAGUCGAACGGAAAGGCCCUGCUUUUGUGGGGUGCUCGAGUGGCGAACGGGUGAGUAACACGUGAGUAACCUGCCCUUGACUUUGGGAUAACUUCAGGAAACUGGGGCUAAUACCGGAUAGGAGCUCCUGCUGCAUGGUGGGGGUUGGAAAGUUUCGGCGGUUGGGGAUGGACUCGCGGCUUAUCAGCUUGUUGGUGGGGUAGUGGCUUACCAAGGCUUUGACGGGUAGCCGGCCUGAGAGGGUGACCGGCCACAUCGGGACUGAGAUACGGCCCAGACUCCUACGGGAGGCAGCAGUGGAGAAGGUUGCACAAUGGGCGGAAGCCUGAUGCAGCAACGCCGCGUGCGGGAUGAGGGCCUGCGGGUUGUGAUCCGCUUUCGCCUGUGACGAAGCGUUAGUGACGGUAAUGGGUAAAGAAGCACCGGCUAACUACGUG
rnacentral:rRNA from 1 species